rnacentral:rRNA from 1 species
CAGUUAUCGUUUAUUUGAUAGUACCUUACUACUUGGAUAACCGUGGUAAUUCUAGAGCUAAUACAUGCUAAAAACCCCAACUUCGGGAGGGGUGUAUUUAUUAGAUAAAAAACCAAUGCCCUUCGGGGCUCUUUGGUGAUUCAUGAUAACUUAACGGAUCGCAUGGCCUUGCGCCGGCGACGGUUCAUUCAAAUUUCUGCCCUAUCAACUUUCGAUGGUAAGGUAUUGGCUUACCAUGGUUUCAACGGGUAACGGGGAAUUAGGGUUCGAUUCCGGAGAGGGAGCCUGAGAAACGGCUACCACAUCCAAGGAAGGCAGCAGGCGCGCAAAUUACCCAAUCCCGACACGGGGAGGUAGUGACAAUAAAUACUGAUACAGGGCUCUUUUGGGUCUUGUAAUUGGAAUGAGUACAAUUUAAACCCCUUAACGAGGAACAAUUGGAGGGCAAGUCUGGUGCCAGCAGCCGCGGUAAUUCCAGCUCCAAUAGCGUAUAUUAAAGUUGUUGCAGUUAAAAAGCUCGUAGUUGAAACUUGGGCCUGGCUGGCCGGUCCGCCUCACCGCGUGUACUGGUCCGGCCGGGCCUUUCCUUCUGGAGAGCCUCAUGCCCUUCACUGGGUGUGUUGGGGAACCAGGACUUUUACUUUGAAAAAAUUAGAGUGUUCAAAGCAGGCCUUUGCUCGAAUACGUUAGCAUGGAAUAAUAGAAUAGGACGUGCGAUCCUAUUUUGUUGGUUUCUAGGACCGCCGUAAUGAUUAAUAGGGAUAGUCGGGGGCAUCAGUAUUCAAUUGUCAGAGGUGAAAUUCUUGGAUUUAUUGAAGACUAACUACUGCGAAAGCAUUUGCCAAGGAUGUUUUCAUUAAUCAGUGAACGAAAGUUAGGGGAUCGAAGACGAUCAGAUACCGUCGUAGUCUUAACCGUAAACUAUGCCGACUAGGGAUCGGGCGAUGUUAUUAUUUUGACUCGC